UUCGCUCAAUUUUGUAUGCAGUUGGAACAGCGCCCCUAGCGGCAAACGUAGGCAAACGUUUCAACGCCAUACAAAUUUAAGUUA
rnacentral:pre_miRNA from 1 species